GACGGAGGGGGCUAGCGUUGUUCGGAAUUACUGGGCGUAAAGCGCACGUAGGCGCCUUCGAGUCAGGCGUGAAAGCCCCGGGCUUAACCCGGGAAUUGCGUUUGAUACUGUUGGGCUUGAGACCGGGAGAGGAUAGCGGAAUUCCCAGUGUAGAGGUGAAAUUCGUAGAUAUUGGGAAGAACACCAGUGGCGAAGGCGGCUAUCUGGACCGGUACUGACGCUGAGGUGCGAAAGCGUGGGGAGC
rnacentral:rRNA from 1 species